UACGGAGGGAGCUAGCGUUGUUCGGAAUUACUGGGCGUAAAGCGCACGUAGGCGGCUUUGUAAGUUAGAGGUGAAAGCCCGGGGCUCAACCCCGGAAUUGCCUUUAAGACUGCAUCGCUUGAAUCCGGGAGAGGUGAGUGGAAUUCCGAGUGUAGAGGUGAAAUUCGUAGAUAUUCGGGAGAACACCAGUGGCGAAGGCGGCUCACUGGACCGGUAUUGACGCUGAGGUGCGAAAGCGUGGGGAGCAAACAGG
rnacentral:rRNA from 1 species